rnacentral:rRNA from 1 species
AGAGUUUGAUCCUGGCUCAGGACGAACGCUGGCGGCGUGCUUAACACAUGCAAGUCGAACGGUGACGAGGAGCUUGCUCCUCUGAUCAGUGGCGAACGGGUGAGUAACACGUGAGCAACCUGCCCCAGACUCUGGGAUAACAGUUGGAAGCAGCUGCUAAUACCGGAUACGAGACGGAGAGGCAUCUCUACCGUCUGGAAAGUUUUUCGGUCUGGGAUGGACUCGCGGCCUAUCAGCUAGUUGGUGAGGUAAUGGCUCACCAAGGCACGACGGGUAGCCGGCCUGAGAGGGCGACCGGCCACACUGGGACUGAGACACGGCCCAGACUCCUACGGGAGGCAGCAGUGGGGAAUAUUGCACAAUGGGCGAAAGCCUGAUGCAGCGACGCCGCGUGAGGGAUGACGGCCUUCGGGUUGUAAACCUCUUUCAGCAGGGAAGAAGCGAAAGUGACGGUACCUGCAGAAGAAGCACCGGCUAACUACGUGCCAGCAGCCGCGGUAAUACGUAGGGUGCGAGCGUUGUCCGGAAUUAUUGGGCGUAAAGAGCUUGUAGGCGGUUUGUCGCGUCUGCAGUGAAAAUCCGAGGCUCAACCUCGGACUUGCUGUGGGUACGGGCAGACUAGAGUAUGGUAGGGGAGACCGGAAUUCCUGGUGUAGCGGUGGAAUGCGCAGAUAUCAGGAGGAACACCGAUGGCGAAGGCAGGUCUCUGGGCCAUAACUGACGCUGAGAAGCGAAAGCAUGGGGAGCGAACAGGAUUAGAUACCCUGGUAGUCCAUGCCGUAAACGUUGGGCGCUAGGUGUGGGGCUCAUUCCACGAGCUCCGUGCCGCAGCUAACGCAUUAAGCGCCCCGCCUGGGGAGUACGGCCGCAAGGCUAAAACUCAAAGGAAUUGACGGGGGCCCGCACAAGCGGCGGAGCAUGCGGAUUAAUUCGAUGCAACGCGAAGAACCUUACCAAGGCUUGACAUAUACCGGAAACAUCCAGAGAUGGGUGCCCCGCAAGGUCGGUAUACAGGUGGUGCAUGGUUGUCGUCAGCUCGUGUCGUGAGAUGUUGGGUUAAGUCCCGCAACGAGCGCAACCCUCGUUCUAUGUUGCCAGCGCGUAAUGGCGGGGACUCAUAGGAGACUGCCGGGGUCAACUCGGAGGAAGGUGGGGAUGACGUCAAAUCAUCAUGCCCCUUAUGUCUUGGGCUUCACGCAUGCUACAAUGGCCGGUACAAAGGGCUGCGAUACCGCGAGGUGGAGCGAAUCCCAAAAAACCGGUCUCAGUUCGGAUUGGGGUCUGCAACUCGACCCCAUGAAGUCGGAGUCGCUAGUAAUCGCAGAUCAGCAACGCUGCGGUGAAUACGUUCCCGGGCCUUGUACACACCGCCCGUCAAGUCACGAAAGUCGGUAACACCCGAAGCCGGUGGCCCAACCCUUGUGGAGGGAGCCGU